AGCAGCUGCCCAGUGCAACGGUACAUAUUUGCUUCUGAAUCCUUUCUCAAAGGCACUAUUUAAACAUGUUGAUGGAAUGAACUGCAUUUCUCCCCACCUCCAUUUAAGCAAAACAAAGAGACUCCGAAGACAAAAUAUGUUUUGUUUUUGCAAGUAGCAUAAUGUGGUACAGUAUUAAAUAUGAAAUGUGAACUCACCAUAGCAACCCCUGCAUCACAUUGCAGAUAUGCUGCUUCUAAGCUACGGCAAAGGUUUCUGAAGAAA